rnacentral:rRNA from 1 species
UACGGAGGGUGCAAGCGUUAUCCGGAAUCACUGGGUUUAAAGGGUGCGUAGGCGGCCUGAUAAGUCAGGGGUGAAAGUUCACGGCUUAACUGUGGAAUUGCCUUUGAUACUGUUGGGCUUGAAACGAUCUGAGCUCAGCGGAAUGUGACAUGCAGCGGUGAAAUGCAUAGAUAUGUCAUAGAACCUCAAUUGCGUAGGCAGCUGGCUAGACUUAGUAUGACGCUGAGGCACGCAAGCGUGGGUAGCGAACAGG